CCUACGGGAGGCAGCAGUGAGGAAUAUUGGUCAAUGGGCUUACGCCUGAACCAGCCAAGUCGCGUGAGGGAAGACUGCCCUAUGGGUUGUAAACCUCUUUUGUCAGGGAGCAACGCCGGCUACGUGUAGCCGGACUGAGAGUACCUGAAGAAAAAGCAGCGGCUAACUCCGUGCCAGCAGCCGCGGUAAUACGGAGGAUGCGAGCGUUAUCGGGAUUGAUUGGGUUUAAAGGGGGCGUAGGCGGAAUGCCAAGUCAGCGGUAAAAUCGCGGGGCUCAACCUCGCUCCGCCGUUGAAACUGGCGUUCUUGAGUGGGCGAGAAGUCUGCGUCAUGCGUGGUGUAGCGGUGCCAUGCCUAGCUCUCACGCAGAACUCCGAUUGCGACGGCAGCAUACCGGCGCCCAACUGACGCUGAAGCACGAAAGCGUGGGUAUCGAACAGGAUUAGAUACCCCGGUAGUC
rnacentral:rRNA from 1 species